rnacentral:lncRNA from 1 species
GGAUAUCCAUCUCUUGAGACUUGCAUAGAUGUGUAGAUAGGAAUAUUAUUAGCUCGUCAUUUUGCUUUCCAAGUGCUAGCGAUUCUUUCUGAAGAACUGUGCUCUGAGGCUAUAUGGAGAUGAGUGUUCUUUGCUUACCUUGUAGUGCUGAAAAUCUGCUGAAGUAACUGGCUGUGCAGAAUGUACUAGAAGCUUUUCUCAUUCUUUUAUUCUUAAAAUCAGUAUCUUUUUACAGUAUUCUUUCUACAUGAUUAUUUUUUUGUACAUUUAAGAAUAUUUUGAUUACAUCCAACACGUCUGCUGAUUUGCUACUUUUUUAAAAGGGGUCUUCAUGUAAGUAAAACAUACAAAGGCAUAAAUUAUAGGUGGAGGAAAGUGGACCCGAAGGUUGCAUUUCCCCCUCAUACCCAGGCUCAAAUGGAAUGAAAUAUUUUGUCUUCAAUAAGUCAGUCUGAUACAUACUUCUUUGUUUGGAAAUCUUUAUCACAAAACUCUUUUUGGUCUACAAUGCUGUUGAAUAUGACACUUUGAGGGGAGAGUGGGCUCAGAAUUUAGAUGGGAAUUUGAUAAGCAAAGAAUGCUAAAGUGUACAAUAUAUGUUUAAGUUUCACACCUGUAACAAGGAGAUGUGGUCACAAAAAUGAGAAAGUAUGUCGGACUUGAUGUCCUCUUGCUCUGUCAAGCUAUUUGCUAUAGUUUUCAAGAUCAUUAUGUUACUCUAACUCUGAAAAGUGAUGUAAUCUGGUAGCAACAUAGUAGUCCAAAUAAAGGCAUUUGCAUAAUAAUCGUU